rnacentral:tRNA from 1 species
UCCCAGGUGGCUCAGAUGGUAAAGCAUCUGCCUGCAAUGUGGGAGACCUGGGUUCAAUCCCUGGGUCGGGAA